GCUAGCUUUGCGGAGUGGUCAAACGCGGAGGACUUAAGACCCUCUCCCUUUGGGUUCGCAGGUUCGAGCCCUGCAGCUAGCA
rnacentral:tRNA from 1 species